AUUGAACGCUGGCGGCAUGCUUUACACAUGCAAGUCGAACGGCAGCGCGGGCUUCGGCCUGGCGGCGAGUGGCGAACGGGUGAGUAAUGCAUCGGAACGUGCCCAGUAGUGGGGGAUAGCCCGGCGAAAGCCGGAUUAAUACCGCAUACGACCUGAGGGUGAAAGCGGGGGACCGAAAGGCCUCGCGCUAUUGGAGCGGCCGAUGUCGGAUUAGCUAGUUGGUGGGGUAAAGGCUUACCAAGGCGACGAUCCGUAGCUGGUCUGAGAGGACGACCAGCCACAGUGGGACUGAGACACGGCCCAGACUCCUACGGGAGGCAGCAGUGGGGAAUUUUGGACAAGGGGGGCAACCCUGUUCCAGCCAUGCCGCGUGCGGAAGAAGGCCUUCGGGUUGUAAACCGCUUUUGUUCGGGAAGAAAUCCUCUGGGCUAAUACCCCGGGGGGAUGACGGUACCGGAAGAAUAAGCACCGGCUAACUACGUG
rnacentral:rRNA from 1 species